AGCGAACGCUGGCGGCAGGCUUAACACAUGCAAGUCGAACGCCCCGCAAGGGGAGUGGCAGACGGGUGAGUAACGCGUGGGAACGUGCCCUUCGCUUCAGGAUAGCCCCGGGAAACUGGGAGUAAUACUGGAUACGCCGUAUUGGGAAAGAUUUAUCGGCGAAGGAUCGGCCCGCGUUAGAUUAGGUAGUUGGCGGUGUAAUGGACCACCAAGCCUACGAUCUAUAGCUGGUCUGAGAGGAUGAUCAGCCACACUGGGACUGAGACACGGCCCAGACUCCUACGGGAGGCAGCAGUGGGGAAUCUUGGACAAUGGGCGCAAGCCUGAUCCAGCCAUGCCGCGUGAGUGAAGAAGGCCUUAGGGUUGUAAAACUCUUUCGCCGGAGAAGAUAAUGACGGUAUCCGGAGAAGAAGCCCCGGCUAACUUCGUGCCAGCAGCCGCAGUAACAC
rnacentral:rRNA from 1 species